GCCUCGGUAGCGCAGAUGGCAGCGCAUCAGUCUCAUAAUCUGAAGGCCGUGAGUUCGAUCCUCACCCGGGGCA